rnacentral:rRNA from 1 species
UACGGAGGGUGCAAGCGUUAUCCGGAAUUACUGGGUUUAAAGGGUGCGUAGGCGGCUUAGUAAGUCAGGGGUGAAAGGCUACGGCUCAACCGUGGAAUUGCCUUUGAUACUGCUGAGCUUGAAUGAGGUUGAGGUGAGCAGAAUGUGGCAUGUAGCGGUGAAAUGCAUAGAUAUGCCAUAGAAUACCGAUUGCGAAGGCAGCUCACUGGACCUGGAUUGACGCUGAGGCACGAAAGCGUGGGGAGCGAACAGG